AUUUAAAAUACAAACCACUUGAUAACAAAAACAAAAACUGGAUUUAUACAUUAUAAAGCCCCUUAUCAGAAAAUGGCAGAAACAAGUUGGAGAUAAUUUUUGUAAAUUCUUUCUGAUAGAAGUUCCAUUGAAUUUUAACACAAAAGCAAAUAACAAACCUCCUAAUUAAUUAAGGAUCAUUUUCUCACCCACUAAACAUGUACAAACAAAGAUUUCCCUCAUAAACCUCCACUCCACAGAAUGAUUCCUUAGCUGAAGCUUCACUUCAGCCAAAUAUAUUUCCCUCUAUGUACUCAUAAUUACAUCAACCAACUCAACAUUUCAAGAAUAAUUUGUACAUUACGAAUGAAGAAGAACCCUUCCCCCCUCCUUCUUCCUUUACUUUGGUGUUAAAAAAUGAAAGAUCAACCUACCUCAUCUGCAGCCAUAGCCGCAUCACUUUGAACUGCUGCUCCAUUUCCAUGAAUUCUGAUCCCAACAUCAGCUUCUGCACCAUCAGAACUUGCUGCUGGUUGCUCCAGCAAUGACUGUCGACAAGUUGGACAGGAGGAGUGUGAUCCCAACCAUGGGUCUAUACACCUUACAUGAAAACCAUGACUACAUUUUGGCAAAACUCUCACUCUCUCACCAUCCAUGAACUCUCCAAGGCAAAUUGCACAAUCUGUGGCUAUGAUGUGAAUCCCUGCAGCCCCAUAUAUGACCACAGGGAUCUGUCGCAAUGCACUUUUUUUAAGCCCUGUUGCUGCUAAACGAGCUGCAGCUUCAUCAGGAGUUUCAAAAGCAAACCUUCUGCUGCAUCUUAAGGCACACCGUACUAUUGAGUUUAGUCCAAGCGCACAUAUUAAUGCACAGAGCAGAGCUGCUAGAAUGAUCACCAUGUUGGUGUCAAAAUUGGCCUCGUUUGUGUAGGUGUUGCGACUUCUGCUUCCAUUUGCUGGUGGUGGUGUACUUGAUUCUGCAUCCAGAAGCAGCCGAUGAGGACGGUGAGGAAGAGUUAUCAUUCCUGCAAAAUGUUUUGAAUCUGUGUAUAUUUGACAAGUACUAGAAUACCCCCUUGGUCUUGUGUAACUUGUUUAGAGUUUCUUCGAUGAACUUAUGCAAAUGGGCUGGAGAUUUCAUUGCUUCAAGGCUUCUUAGCAUCAAAUCGAACCACGAAGGAAAUUGAAAGCAAAGAGUUCAUUCUACCUAAGCUCAAGCAGCUUCUUUUCGCGUCGGAUUUCUAAGCAAAGGCUUGCAAUGGAGGAUUUCUUUCUAAAGACUAAGAGGAUUGAUGGGUUUUGAUGCUUCAGGAAAGGGGAAGCAGAAAAGUGUCACCUUUGUGGUUUCUAGCUUCUGGUUCUUGUUGAUCUGCUUUUAGGCCGGGAUAAAGAGAGAGAUGAACCUUUUAGUUAAGGAGCAAAGAGAUGAACCUUUUAGUUAUGGAGCAAAGGACAUCAAAAAAAGCAUCCUUCUGAGCACUAAAAGAAGGAAAGAAAGAGAGUUGAAUAGCAGCAAGUAAGAACCUUUAAACCCAAUUCAAGAACAAGAAUGAGCUUUUAAGGCUUGUAAUUAAGCUCUCCAACCCAGAAGGAUGAUUGGAUUAAAAGAAUUAUAAUGUGGGUGCUAAUUCUCUGCAGAAGAAGAGAUGAGGGAUGGCUUAAUAGUUGUGAAAAAGUAUAAUAGCAGAGUGGUUAAAAGUGGGUGUAGUAUUUGGAUGUGGCAAAGGACACUAG
rnacentral:misc_RNA from 1 species